rnacentral:rRNA from 1 species
AUGCUGAUGAACUCUUGGAACGUGCCGGCAUGGACACCUGCCGCUCUUCCCCGACACCCAUCGACACGAAGAGCAAACUCCCCUCCGCCGAUGGGCCCUGCGUCGACGACCCCUUGGCCUAUCGGAGCAUCGCCGGGGCCCUGCAGUACCUCACCAUCACGCGCUCGGAGAUCGCCUACGCCCGUUCAGCAAAUCCGCUUGCACAUGCAUGACCCGCGUGAAUGCCAUCUCGCGCUCGUCAAACGCGUGCUCCGGUACGUGAAGAGCACCUGCGCUCUUGGGCUUCACCUUCGAGCCUCCGCCACGCUCGACGUCCGUGCGCUCACCGACGCGGACUGGGUCGGCUGCCCCGACACCCGCCGCUCCACGUCGGGCUUCUGCGUCUUCCUCGGCGAUGCUCUCGUCUCCUGGUCCUCCAAGCGCCAGGCGAUCGUUUCACGCUCCAGUGCCGAAGCUGAAUACCGCGGGGUCGCCAACGCGGUUGCUGAAUGCAUCUGGCUCCGUCAGCUCCUCGGCGAGCUCUCCGCUCUGGUGACCAAGGCGACGCUGGUGUACUGUGACAAUGUGUCCGCAGUCUACCUGUCAGCCAAUCCGGUGCACCAUCGCCGCACCAAGCAUGUGGAGCUCGACAUCCACUUCGUGCGCGAGCGCGUCGCCCUCGGCCACUUCCGUGUUCUUCACAUCCCCACGCGUCAACAACUCGCCGACAUCAUGACCAAAGGCUUGCCAUCGGAUGUUUUCUCUGAGUUUCGGUCCAGUCUUUGCGUUGCCAACGCCAACGUCACGACUGCGGGGGGUGUUAGACUGUAUUAUACUGCUAUACCGUAG